AUACGGAGGGUGCAAGCGUUACUCGGAAUCACUGGGCGUAAAGCGCGCGCAGGCGGGCUGAUAAGUUGGAUGGGAAAGCCUACGGCUCAACCGUAGAACUGCAUCCAAAACUGUCAGUCUAGAGUCUGGGAGGGGAAGAUGGAAUUAGUUGUGUAGGGGUAAAAUCCGUAGAGAUAACUAGGAAUACCAAAAGCGAAGGCGAUCUUCUGGAACAGUACUGACGCUGAGGCGCGAAAGCGUGGGGAGCAAACAGGAUUAGAAACCCUAGUAGUCC
rnacentral:rRNA from 1 species